rnacentral:rRNA from 1 species
AAGUCGUAACAAGGUUUCCGUAGGUGAACCUGCGGAAGGAUCAUUACAAAUCUUUUGCGAGUGCUGCGUGCGUAACUGUGCGUAGUAUCUCACAACAUUAGCACAAGGUCGCAAGGCCUUGAUGUUUACGCUUGUUUGUUUGACAGAGUUAGUUGAGACAAAAAAAGACAACUUUUAACAAUGGAUCUCUUGGCUCUUGCAACGAUGAAGAACGCAGUAAAGUGCGAUAUGUAGUGCGAUUUGCAUGAAUCUGUGAGUCAUCUAAUCUUUGAACGCAACUUGCGCCUUUUACGAGGCAUGUCUGUUUGAGUGCCGUAAUCCUCUGCAGCAAUGCGAUUUGACUCUUGUCUUUGUUGACCGAGUUUAAAGGAAGCUAGAGGAUGGUCAGUUUAGACUAGCCCGAGUGCUAAGCAUUCUUGGGUCUAGCGCUGGAUUGCUCAUUAUAUCUAUUUUAUAUUUUGGCCUCAAAUCAGGCAAGACUACCCGCUGAACUUAAGCAUAUCAGUAAGCGGAGGAAAAGAAACUAACAAGGAUUCCCCUAGUAGCGGCGAGUGAAGCGGGAAUAGCUCAAAUUUAAAAUCUCGACGUUCUGCGUCGCGAAUUGUAGUCUAAAGAGGGUGAUCUAGGGUCAGUGGUGUGCUCAAGUCCCUUGGAAUAGGGCGCCAGAGAGGGUGAGAGCCCCGUAAUAGCAUGUUGCUGGCCUCAAGUGAGAGCCUCUCAACGAGUCGAGUUGUUUGGGAAUGCAGCUCAAAGUGGGUGGUAAAUCUCAUCUAAGGCUAAAUAUUGGCAAGGGACCGAUAGCGAACAAGUACCGUGAGGGAAAGAUGAAAAGCACCUUGAAAAGGGAGUUAAAUAGUGCGUGAAAUUGUUAAAAGGGAAACGAUAGAGACUAGUAUUGGGCGUAGGCUAAGCUGGUGUUUCGGCAUUAGUGGUGCUUGCGCUUCGAGUCAAUGUCAGUUGUUUUUGCCGGAUACGGUUUGGAGAAAGGUGGGGUUGACUUCGGUCUUCCUUUUAUAGUCUCUGAUGCCUGCGGCCGAGGCGACUGGAAGUCUUGGGACGCUAGGCUACUCGGGGGUAGUAGGUGGCAGACAGCAUGCUGACUGUUGCCUUUUUUAUUCUCUACUAACCGACGCUUACCUGGACGCCUUUGACGAGAUGGUCUUUAACGACC